rnacentral:rRNA from 1 species
CCUAACGGCUGAACCAGCAAUUUGGGGGAAUGAAGUUAUAUAUUAAUAUAGACAUAUAUACGUAUCGACUAUGUCGUAUAAAGUUCUAAAUAGAAGAUUGAUUAUGACAGAUUUCUAUUUAUGUGUCUCGACCAAUUCUUGUGCCAGCAGUCGCGGCAACACAAGUGAGACUAGUGUUAUUCAUCUUUAUUAGGUUUAAAGGGUACCUAGACGGUAUUUUCAGCCUGCAGAAGGAACAAAAAUACUAGAGUUUUAUUUGAGAGGUAAAUAUUAGGACAAUUGGUGUAAAGAUGAUAUUUUUUGAUAUCAGUUGUACGGAUAACGGCGAAGGCAAUCCUCUAUCUAUAAACUGACGUUAAGGGACGAAGGCUUGGGGAGCGAACAGGAUUUGUUACCCUAGUAGUCCAGGCAGAAAAUUAUGAAUGUUAUAGACUAAGAAAAAAUUGGUGUAUAAAUGAAAGUGUAAGCAUUCCACCUCAAGAGUAAUGUGGCAACGCAGGAACUGAAAUCAUUAGACCGUUUGUGAAACCAGUAGUGAAGU